ensembl:snoRNA SNORD10 small nucleolar RNA, C/D box 10
GCUCUGUGAUGAGGCCCAUGCGUGUCAUCUGAGCCUGGCUUCCCUGGCAGCAUGGCCCAGGCAGUGUUCUACUUCCCAGGGCUGUUGUCUGGCCAGGCAGGAAAGUCCUCGGCAAAGGAUCAGUCUUUGUAUUCUGAGAGC